GAGUUCAAAGUGUCUAAAGCAGAUCUGUAAAAGAUGUUUCUGUAAUGUCUGUAAUGUAUCUUACGUACUUGCAUCACAAUUAGAGUUAAAAGGUAUGAAAAUGUCAAAAGCUAGAUAUUUCAAGACUGGCAAAACACUUUUUCCCCCCUUCUCUUUAUUCAGUUGAGCUAUCUGUUUAGCAUCUCUAAUUACAAUGACUUUUAAAAGUGUACUCAUUGUGUAGCUAAUCUUCUGGCAUGUAGAGUUUUCUCGUAUUUAGAUCCACAACCACGGAGUUCUUGCUGUGAAACAUAUCAAAUAUGAAAUUGGGCUAUGCUCCUUGAUUAUAGUUCUCCAGUUACAUGAUAAUUACAGGUUGCAAUUACAGGUUUCGUUCUCUAAAGUGUAAGGAUUUAGACCGUAACCUCCAAGCUAAUCCAGCCACCUAGACUCUCUCAGGUCAUCUGGACAUGUUAAUGUGCCACCACCAUGACUUUAUGGAUACUGCCCUCAGCAAGAUUGCUGAGCCAGAAGCUUGCCCCUGCAUGUGUCUUGAGCUGUGCCACUGGAAGAGGGCAGUGAAAUUCUCGGUGGUCUCACCCUCUCUCUUGCCACACUCACCUGGGAAGCCUCGACAGAGAAAACCUGGUAUCAUGGAUGGUUCGUGGCCUUUAUGUCAACUGAACUUUUUCCUGUGAACAGGUUCACCCAAACGAGGGUCACGCUGAUCUUCAACUUGAGAGAAUUUUCUAAUAGGUAUUUGUAAAAGCUGAAGCACCUCAACCAUUUACAGGAACACGUAAAAACACUGAAGAACAGACACCAGGCUAUAAAUACCGAUGAAGCACUCAGCAAAUGUGUUUGUGAAGACAUCACCUCAUUGUUCAUUCAGUAUUGAAUUUCCUCAUCUCUUGCUGCCAGGACACAUAUGAUGAAACAGAUGCACAAAAUGAGGAAGGACUUGGCAUAAACAAGCGAAGCGUACUGCUCCGUCACGGACAAAUAAACACCGGCUUUUUCUAGAACUGUGUGACUGUGGAAAUAAUUUUGCAUCAAGUAGAACAACCUGAACCUAUGUUAGAAAGAGCCGUAAGGAGAGUCUGCAUCCUAGGAAUUGUCUUCUGGAGUUUGGAAGAACUGAGUUCAAACAAACAUCUCAGAAGGUUCCUAUGUGCCAGACAGAGGUCAGCAGUAACACGGACUGACUGUUUCAUAUCACUAAAUGGCACACAGUGUGUCAUGCAGCCAGGUGAGGAUAUACAGGGGCAAACCAUUUUUCCUUUCAGGUGCUGUUGUAGGCACAAAGAUGGUCAGCAAUAAAAUAGAGGAAAAAUCAGUGAAUCAUCAAGUCCCACAGAUGUAAUUGGUAACCUUCAGAGAAAGAAGAAAAAUAUAUUCCAAAAGUGAUGAUUUUAUUCUAUUAAAAGCAUAGCUGAAAGCAAGCUGAAUCUGCUAAACACAUUGGAUAUAGAUUACAUUGCAAAAACGUACGAGUGAAGAGCCAUGAAUUGCACUGCCACUUAUGAAAGUAUCCAUCAUCUCAGGCUGGUGCCAGAACAUGUGGAAUAGAGCAAGUUAUUUCUGGUUUGCUUCUGCUGUCAAAUUGGUGACAAGACCAUUAUCUCUAAGAUUCUGUUGGACUAAGGACUGGGUAUAACUUGAUUAACCAAGAUGGAUACUGAUAGCUGGGAUAAAGUUCUUAAGAAGAAACUCACCCUGGGAAUCACAAAGAACAAUAGAUAAUAUUUGAUGCAAGCUUGUGCAGAACGGAGUAGCAAACAGAGUGGAAUAGCAUCAUCCAGGAACAGAGGCAGAGAAGCCCAGGCUCAUCCUUCUCUGUGCCUUUCAUGGUGUUCAGGCUAUUUUGGCAAGCUGCAACCAAGCGUGCUUCAUGGGACUAGCACGGUGCCAAGAGCAACCCACCCACAUCUACCAAAAUUGGUCACGAGAGGGAAACUGCCACAUCUGGAACUGAGGUCAGAGCAAGAAAUUUCACAGCUAACCUGCAGACCAAGAACAAUCACUUGCAACAACCUUCUAUUCAGAUAUAUUUCCUGAAAUUAUUGCAUUGGCUUUUCUGUUUGGUUAUCUCAUUUAACAAAGGAAGGAGAAAACAUUUUUUACACAGCUGAACUUUAACUUACAGGACUUCUUCUUUUCCCCUCUCCAUGUUUGGCAGACUGACUUUAACCAUUUCUCAUCAGAAAAGAAGCCUGAUAAGCAUUGAUUUGGGAUUAUUUUUGCAUAGCUGUUUAAUUUCUUCUCAUUUAACUUUUUAGUUUUCUUUUGUGUAGGUUUCUAUUUAUUUACAUUAUUUUUCUCUAUAUUACAGAAAAAAAGGAGUUAUAUCGCACACUUCUAAAUUAUUUUUCUAGUGUAUUGCCAUGGGUCUAGGCAGGCUGAAAGCAGCAAAUAACUGAUACAACAUAGUGCCAGGGCAAAUAAUAAACUUUGACUCCCAGGUAUCAAUCUUGUACUUGAACAUCGCAAUAUUGUCCCCAUACUGCUGCAAUUAUGAUUUCAGUGAUUCGUUUCAGAACUAAUAAAGUUCACCUGACUCAGUCUGCCACUUUUCACUUUAUAUUUAAAAGUUAAAUUCUUUAUUACGUGCUAUUGAGAUGGCCAGCAGCUCUCAUGAUUUUAGUUAGUACAGAAAUAAGCCACAGAAAUCUACAGAGUACCUUAUCUGAAGACAAGUUUGUUGUUGGCUCAUGGCAGAACAAGUUGUGGUAACAAGUGGUAAUCACUAUAGCUUUUCUGAAUACAUGACGAGUAUGUUUUGGAUCUCAAAGCUAUCAAGAAGUCAAAUUUUAGGUUCCUUUCUUUGCUGUGAAGAUGAUUAAGGGAAAUGGUUGUUCCAUCAGUAGGCUUAAGAAUAAAUUUCCUAUAAAAUAUUCAGCUUGGCUGAAAUUGAAUUUCUUUCUUCUUUGUAAUGUUGCAUAAAAUCUGAAAAUGCCUGGUUAUUUGGAGGUGAUGUUGCUACGCAACCACUUCACCUUCCUUUCUUGCUUGUGAAGAUGAGCAGGUAGCAAUUCCUCUCUAAAUUUUUUAACCAAACUUGCAAACGACCAAAAAAAAUUUUGCUGAUGCUUUCAUAGGUAUGAGAUUAUUUCAACUAGGAUUAAGAGUUAAAAAUAA